rnacentral:rRNA from 1 species
AUGGGAGAUUUCAAUGAUAUCCUAGAUUCCCUGGAGAAGAAUAAUAGUACUAUUCCGAACCACCAUCGUAUGGCUAAUUUCUCUAAUCAUGUUAAACGAUGUGGUUUAAUUGAUAUGGGUUAUAAUGGUCCUGCGUUUACAUGGUGUAUAAGCUUUUUUCUUUUGUUCCUGUUUUAUAAGCGCCUUGAUAGAUGCUUUGCUAAUGCUGAGUGGUGCAAUGAAUUUACUCACACUGCAGUUUAUAAUCUGCCUAUUCUAUAUAGUGAUCCUGCUCCUAUUUUAACCAUUUCUAAACCCAAUACUGGUAAGAUUAAGAGUCCGUUUAAAUUUGAGAAUUUGUGGCUUCUAGAAGAGGACUAUCAAGACAUAGCAAAAUGUAGGAGAUAUGCCCUAGAGGCAAUAAUAAAUGAUAUUAUUUAUCUCCGAGUUCAUAAUUAUGUUUAUGUUCCAUGCUAUAACUGCUAUGGUUCUCGUGUAGGGUAA